rnacentral:rRNA from 1 species
UCGAGAAUUUUUCUCAAUGGGGGAAACCCUGAAGGAGCGACGCCGCGUGGAGGAUGAAUGGCUUCGGCUUGUAAACUCCUGUCAUUUGGGAACAAGGCGUGCGCAGUAACUAUGCGCACGUUGAUAGUACCAGAAGAGGAAGAGACGGCUAACUCUGUGCCAGCAGCCGCGGUAAUACAGAGGUCUCGAGCGUUGUUCGGAUUCAUUGGGCGUAAAGGGUGCGUAGGUGGCACCGUAAGUCGGGUGUGAAAUCCCGGGGCUUAACCCCGGGACUGCAUUCGAUACUGCGGUGCUUGAGGACUGGAGAGGAGACUGGAAUUCAUGGUGUAGCAGUGAAAUGCGUAGAGAUCAUGAGGAAGACCAGUGGCGAAGGCGGGUCUCUGGACAGUUCCUGACACUGAGGCACGAAGGCCAGGGGAGCAAACGGGAUUAGAUACCCGCGUAGUCC